CCCAAUAUAAUAACAAUUAAGAUGUGAGCCCAGCGUGGUACCCAGCAAACCAUUUCCCUUUUCAUUAAUUAACAUGAAAAUUCAAUCGUCAUUCAACAUGAAAAUUUAAAUCGAUUCCAUCAAAGGAGAAGGAUUGACAAAAAGAAGCAAAAAUAUUGAAACUGGAUUCAUAUUCAAAGAUUAGUAUUGUUAAUCAAAGGACUGGAUGGAUGGUAAAGGAGGGCCAAAUGGGUGGACACAUGAGGCUCAAGAGGCUCAGAUGGGAAUUUUCAGAUUGAGCGAAAGUUGAAACAAUGGGAAGACAAAGAAGUACAAAGACAGAAACAAAGAAAGGAUUGAAAGGUAAAAAAAGAUGAAAAAAAGAGGUUUUCUCUUCCUUUCAUCUUCUCUAUAAAUGGGUUUACCAAGUUUAAUGUCAAAGGUUAUUGGGUAAGUGGUUUACCAAUUUCAUGUUCAAAACGUUUUCAUCAUGGUGGUUUCAUGAGACUUGCUCGAUCUACUCAAGUAUGGAAAGCAAAGAGAAUAGAGUAAAUUAACCAGAAAAACCAGAUUUCGAACCGAGAAGGAGAAAAAAGUUAACCCGAAUUUUUCCAGGGGAAAAAGGCUGUUCGUAGAAGACAAAAAGAGACAAAAAAAAGGGAAAACAUAAAACAUCAAGACAAGUUCAACUCGGAAUCAUCAUUAUCAGAAAUCAUCAUGAUCGUCAUUAAAUGAACACUUGUAGGCAAAUCCAUCAACACAAUUACUGGAAGCCAAACCAGACUGAAAGAAGCAAAACUUUACAUUGAACAUGAUCAUCGCCGAAUGACGAAACUGAAUCACUUUGGAUAGUUUGGAUGGGAAAAGAAAGACUGGGACAGCAAAUGAAAGAGGAAACUGAAUGUUGGCGACGCACAAAUGAUGACGAAAAAAUUUACUAAUGAAACUGAUCGAAAUAAAUUAACAAAGGAAGUCGACUUUAUAUAUAUGUAUUGAUGCAGGGUGAGAGACAGAGUGGCAAACUGAUUAUCAUGAUGACAGAGAGAAGAUGAAUGUGAAAAGAUAAAUGUUGUGAAAAAAAGGCAACAAAGUUGAGGGUGGUUUUUUGUUCUUCUGGUUCUUGAUGUUUUAUUUGAAGGAGUUGAAACAAUGGUAAUCACCAUGUAAUCAUCAUUUUACACAGACAACACUUGAUCGUUUCAAUCUCAUCUUUAUCAUGGAAAUCAUCAUAAACAGUUGACAAUCAUCUGGGACAUUUUAUCAGGUUGAGGCGUUCAACAUAACAAAACAAUGUUUUAAUCAUUCCUGUUAAUUGUAAACCAAUGUUUUAUCCCAAUUUGGAAUCAAGUGGAAGGCGUUUUUUAUUUCUCUAUUUCUCUCUCUUUGCCCUGUUUAACCAUUAACUUAUUGUUAAUUAAUCUGAUAGUUAAUCUAAUUGGAAUGAGUGAAUUCUGUUGGAUGAGCUGAAAAAAUUGAGAUUUUUAUCAAGAAAUACAAGAUGGUUGAAAUUGUGUUUGUUUGCUUUUUUGGUUUCCACUUUGACCUUUUUCAUUGUUUCACAGUCAUCUCAAUUGAUUAGUUUGAUCAAUUCAGUUUAUCAUUUCUUUUUAUUACAUGGGCAAAGUUUUUUUUUCAUGGGAAAGUGGAUAUUGUUAGAUAAGAUGAGACAAUUGUUGAGUGUUUCAGUUGUGUUUUUACUGCUAUUGUUUGAAACAAUUGAUUCACCUGAUCACGAAAUUUAAUUUCAUUCAAAGUAGAGCAAUCAUCAGUUGUUUCAUUUGAUUAAUAGAUUUAACCAGAUAAUUGGCUUUAUCAAAGAGGAACAGUUUUGAUUGUUAACAUUGAUAAUUGUUUGGAUAUUUAAGUAAGAGUAAACAGUUGGCUUGUUGUUAUUUCAUGUUCAUCAAUUGUAAUGAUUAGUUUAGAUUGAAAAGUAAUGUAACCCAAUGAGAAACC